AUUGAAUAGCAGUUAGUUGUCUCAAAGCGGGUGUGUCAGCCCUACAGCGUGUACUCUGCCAGUUCACAAUGCCACUCUCAUCUGGUGUCACAAUAGCGUGCAUUUAAAAACCAAAAAACUUUUUUCACUGUUAUAGAUUGAAUAGCAGUUAGUUGUCUCAAAGCAGGUGUGUCAGCCCUACAGCGUGUACUCUGCCAGUUCACAGUGCCACUCAUAUCUG